rnacentral:misc_RNA from 1 species
GAUGAAGAACGCAGCGAAAUGCGAUACUUGGUGUGAAUUGCAGAAUCCCGUGAACCAUCGAGUCUUUGAACGCAAGUUGCGCCCGAAGCCAUCAGGUUGAGGGCACGUCUGCCUGGGCGUCACAUAUCGUUGCCCAAUGCCUAUUGCAGUGCAAUAGGAAUUUCUAGGGCGAAUGAUGGCUUCCCGUGAGCGUUGUUGCCUCGCGGUUGGUUGAAAAUCGAGUCCUUGGUAGGGUGUGCCAUGGUAGAUGGUGGUCGAGUUAGAACGAUACCGAUCAUGUGCAUGCUCCCCAAAAUAUGGCCUCUAUGACCCACACGCGUCUUUUGACGCUCAUGACGAGACCUCAGGUCAGGCGGGGCUACCCGCUGAAUUUAAACAUAUCAAAGCGGAGGA